rnacentral:sRNA from 1 species
GAUGGCGCGAGGCGUAGAUGACGUCGCGAUUCUUGACCGGGAAGGUCUGACCGACGAUGAGGCUGUCCGGUUUCGUCAUGUCGA